UGAAUUUCCUGGUGUAUUGUCUAUUAGGGAUUUUACUAAGUGUGGAAGAGGAACGAAAAUACUUUUCGCGUUCAAGUGUCUGGCAAAUAGUACUGGGCCAAGGUCAACCGUUUAGUCGUACGUCACAACAAUAGUUAUUUUAAAAUAUCUUGAGAAGCUAGGAAGGUACAUCCAAAGUCAAAUUCGGCAGUGGUGAGUCGCGGUAUACGAACCGAGAAGUGUACAUACAGGUAGAAUUUUAUAAGCUUUCAGAUACAAAAGAUACAAUUUAAAUUUCGUCUAACCUGAGAAAAAUUUACGUUUCUUUCAACGUGAUUAAAUUUGAAAAAGUAUCAAUUCCCGCCACUGUACUGACAACUACAAUCAUGGACUACAAUGCUGGAAAUUAUAUAUCUAAUAUGGCCGAAUUAGUUAAAUGUGGUCGUCGAAUAAACCAUCAAUAUGUGGAUAAAAGUGAGAUCAUACAUGAUUGCUGUAUUACACUACGGAAAUAGAAACUGUACGGAUCCACUUGGCAGAGCAGCUUCUUCAAAUAUAUCACAGAAAUUCUAGAAAGCGGCCAAACGUAGAAGAACCUCGCAAACUGCGAAGCACUCCAUAUCGAGGGUAUCAUGUUCUCGUAGACGCUGAGUGAAUUCCGGUCGGUAAAAAUUGUGUAACAGGUACAGAACAGUGGUAGGUAACACAGAGGGCCAAAAACAGCCUACCAAACUUUCGAUUGAGUUUCUGUUCAUGUGGCGGGAGAUAUCAAAUUCACAUAAUAUUGCCAGGACAUAAAUGCUGAAAUGGUGACAAGUAUUUUUGAAAUAUAAAUACUUUAGGGAACGAUACGAAAGAUUGGACGUAAGUGAAAAUUUUAACUAUUUUAAAAAUUUAUUUCAACUGAUAGUAGAUAAGAAUGCCUAGGAGUAUAUUGAACCCACGAAAGGGACUAUAUAUGGGACAUAUAAAUAUUUGAAUUUAUAAAUGAGGAUAAUGGUGUGAGAUAAUGUAUAUUUGCCUUGACUUUGACGUAUAACAAUAAUAAUGUAUAAUAUUUACAAAAUAAAUUAAAAUAGUA